GCCCUGAUGGUCUAGCGGUAUGAUUCUCCCUUAGGGUUGACACUUGUCAGCGCGCAUGGGAGAGGUCCCAGGUUCGAUCCCUGGUUAGGGCC